GAAGAGCAGUCGGUGCUCUUAACUGCUGAGCCAUCUCUCCAGCCCAACUUUUAAUAUUAUAAUGAGAGAUGGAGUUUUACCCAACUUGCCCAGGUGACUUCAAACUUGCUCUGUAGUCUCUGCAGACCUUGAACUUGAGACUCUUGUCUCAGCCUUUGGAGUGGCUGACUGAGGUUACAGUUGUGCCGCAGGAGGCCCUGACUCAAGGAUACUUUCUUAUGUGGUAGGAAAUGACAGACAGGCUUGGGGAGAAAGAGCAGGAAGACAUGACUAGAUGUAUUUCUGAAGAGGCUUUUGGACUGAGGUUGUAUGGUGCUGGAAGUCCUCUUCGUUGAGGUGGUAUUAAAUAAGGCUGUUACAGCUUACAACUCUGUGGCUCCAGGGUGCUCCUAUAUUGGCAUGCAUUCAUAUUCAUGGAUGACUUCAUUUUCAUCUGCAGACUCCCACAGUUCUUGAAAGCCUGGAGUCUUCCUCAUCAACAGUGUGUGUGUUUAUAAAACCCACACCCAUCUCCUGGGCAAAAUGGCUCUCUCAAGCCUGAGCUGGUGGCACUGGCCUUGUGACUGGUGGAGGCUGAAGGCUGUCCCAGGGCCCCCCGGGGAUGUGAGGUUGGAUAAUGACAUCUCAUUGGGGAUUGGGGGAGAGGUGGGAGGUGCCACAGACCCUGGCAUCUUCAAACCUCCCAUCAGUGCAAAUCAAUGCAAAAUUAAAAUUCAUGAUGGUUCCGGGGCACAACUGCAAACAAUUUGUUCAGUAAACUUGGCUCUAAUUGGCAUUGGUAGAAUUUCCUGUUAAUCAGGCCCCUUGGGCUCUGUGGGUCUGGGAUGCUCUGUCUCCCCGUGACAGGACAGGCAGCAUGGAAGUGGGGCUGAGAGGAAGGGAGCAGGGAGGAUGUUCAGAUGUGGGCAGCUGCAGCCACGUGCCUGGGUGUGUGUUGCUGUGUAGACCCAAGGGCCAGGUUGGAGUGUCGUCUACAGGCAUGGUCUGUGGAGUGUUUGUGGAUCAGCAGAAUGGAGUCAGAAUUUCAACAUGGAGUCUCCUGGGCCCACAACCUUCUGCUUUCUCGUUGACUCUGAAGAUGGUAAGGCGACUGGUCUCCAUCAUCUAUCAUCACCAAGGACUCAAGCCCCAGGCCAAAGGCUUUUGAGGGCUUUGCUGUUGAAAUGAUCCAUGGUCCCAGCUAUGACAAAAACCCACACGGAGAAAUCUCCAGCAACAAAUGCUUAAUGAAGUGCCAGCAAAGCAUCACAUUAUGCAAAGCUGCCCAACUCAUCCGGCGCCUGGUAAUGGGAUGGAGUGUGAAGCUGGGCGUGGUUAUGGAAGUUGAUGUUCCGUGGAGGAGAGCAGCCUCAGGAGUUAAGGAGAGACAAGCAGGUCUAAAGAAGGCUCCAGCCAGCCUUGGGGGCUCUAGGCAGGUGUUCCCAACUCUUUGCUUAUCCUGUCAGGGAUGAAUCCUCUGCUUGUAUGAAGUGAUGAAGGUCACCUUGGCAUGCUGUCAGACCCUAACAUACAGUGACUGGAAAAAGCUAGUGUGUGUGUGUGUGUGUGUGUGUGUGUGUGUGCGCGCGCGCGCGUGUCCACACAGAAGCUUGUUUGUGCUGUACAUCAGGGGAGGCACUUGGGGUGUGCUCUGUGGCCAGCCCCAACCUCCUCACAGUCAUUAUCACAGCCAGAACAGCUCUGGCCCUGGGGCUGCCCUCACUCUUCCAAGCAGCUGCUGUCUUACUCAAAUUAACCCCUCCGUUCCAGCCCCUCAUUUUCCUGCUAGGGGGCCAUUGCUGGCUGGGCAGGGGUCUCCAAGAACAGUAGCCUCAGCAGGUAAGCUGAUGUUACACAGUCCCAGGCCUAUCCCUGGUCCCCAGGGGUCCUCCUCCUUUCUUGAUUCCUGUGGCUGUGACCACAGGGAUUGUGUGAUUGAGCAUCUGAGCCUUCCUUGUGUGUGACUGUGUCUGUGCACUCGUGCGAAGCUAUGGAUGGCUGAGAGGCAGCCACAGGCAGGGCUAGAGCUGCUGCUCUUGAGAUUCAAGUGUAGGCCUCCUCUGAUAGCCUGGCAAGGGUAAGAAGAACUUUGAGUUGUAGGUGGCAAAGAUAGGCUUUGCCAAGCUGGGGAGGCUGUGCCAUAUCUCAGGCUUUUCCAGGGCAUGCACAGAGGGUCAGCUAGGCAGAAGUUAUUCAGUUAUUUAAAAAAAAAAAAAAAAAAAAAAAGACCAACAGGGCCAACUCCUGGUCAGGGUGGACCUGAGAUCUCAGCAGAAGUUGCUGAGGAGAAGAGGAAGUAAGAGACUGAUAAAGAAGGGGGUAUGAAUUGUGCAAGAGGGCCUAGCUCUGCUCUGCUGUCUGCCACCUCUCUGAGGCAGGGAGGAAGGAAGAUGUUUCCGCACAUCAAGGGAGAACCCGGGGAAAGAUGUAGACAAGGAAGCUCAGGACUGGGGACCAGCUUCUUUGCGCUGGGCACUCAGAGCUCUUAGAGCCACACUGAAGACCAUAUACAGCACAAAUCUUCAGGGCCUGCUGGGUGGGACAGACUCUCAGGCACCAGAAGCAGGAGAAGCGGAGGAGGUGGCUCAGCUGGAAAAGUGCUUCCUGUGUGUAAGUCAAGGACCUGCGUUUGUAUCCUCAGCAGCCAUGUAAAAAGCUGGGGCUAUUGGUAGGUAUCUUCAGACAGGAGGCUCCUUUCUAGCCAGUCAGUCUAGUCACAUUAGUGAGUUCCAGGCACAGUGAGGACACUCAGGUGCCUGGAGAAGAUGGGGAGCAAUUGAUGAAGGUGACUGACCACCAACAACCACCACCUCUGGCUUCCAUAAACACAUGUGUACCUGUACACACACACACACACACACACACACACACACACACACACACGUACACACACAUAUAUACACACCACACUGUAAUUUUUUCAAAUCUAUUUUUUUUUUGUUUUUUUGUUUGUUUGUUUUUGUUUUGUUUUUCGAGUCAGGGUUUCUCUGUGUAGCCCUGGCUGUCCUGGAACUCACUCUGUAGACCAGGCUGGCCUCGAACUCAGAAAUCUGCCUGCCUCUGCCUCCCAAGUGCUGGGAUUAAAGGCAUGUGCCACCACUGCCUGGUUCAAAACUGCUCAAAUCCUUUUUUAAUGAUGGUUCUUAAAUGCUUUAACCUUCCAUGUAGCCCAUUACCUACCAGAGGUAGUGGAAAAGAAAGGAUACAGGGGAAGGGGACCUGUUUAGACAGGUUCUUUGGAGGAACUCCUGUCUGUGUUGUCUGGAAAUUGUCAGUUCAGUUCACAGGUCAGCAGUGGCAGCUCCAUCCACUCACAAACACCUCACAGACACACCAGCUGUCCAGUUCAUCAGAGUCAGGUUAGCAGCAAUGGUGACAUGACCUAGCAGAGACAGCCAGGCCCCAGCCUCAAUUCAAGUCAGAAGGAGGGACCAACAGGAAUGCCAGAAGUUCUCUCAGAGAAGCUGUACCUCUCUCUCUCAGAGAAGCAAAGAUCAUCAGUGGUGUCCUAGUUAUACCCUCCAAGCAUCACGGGUCCUCCAUGUGCCUUGCCUCAGCAUGGCUCUUGCCUGAGCACAAGUCUGAGGAGUCUCGACAAAUGCAGCUCAACUAUGCAAUGUAAGGCGGACCAAGACAUGCUUGUUGUUAGCAAAGAAUCCUUCCUCCUGUGUCUUUUCACGUGCUUGCUUUAGAAGAUCAUCCUCUCUCCUGUGUCUGCUUCAGUGAAACCUUCCUCCAUGAGUCUGCCUUAGUCUUUCUCACCUGUGUCCACUUUAACAAAACAUUCAUUGCAUGUGUUUUCUCCAGCAAAACACCGUCCAACUUACUUUCCAAAGAACCUUCAAGUUUCCACUUCAUCACACACACAUGCACACAGAGCAGGGGAGCACAACACCUAGGGGGUAUCCUCUUGGAGUAGGUGACACCUCAGUGGAGGAUGAAUUAUCCCACUAGCUACAAAUUAGUAUUUAUAGGAGCGGUAGUGAUCAAUGGCGAUUCUGAGAACUCACUUAUGCCAGGAAUCUCAUGCAAUCUCUACGGCUUCCCUGCAAGUAAGGGACUAGAAUCCCCACAGCACAGAAUAAUGGUGUCUUAGUUACUUUCCUAUUGCUGUGAGAGGAACCAGUGACCAAAGCGACUUAUAAAACAAAGCAUGCAAUUUGGCGUAUGGUUUUAGGGGGC